rnacentral:rRNA from 1 species
GUGAGGAAUAUUGCGCAAUGGAGGCAACUCUGACGCAGCCAUGCCGCGUGCAGGAAGAAGGCGCUACGCGUUGUAAACUGCUUUUAACCGGGAAGAAACCCCAGGACGUGUCCUGGGUUGACGGUACCGGAGGAAUAAGCACCGGCUAACUUAGUGCCAGCAGCCGCGGUAAUACGAAGGGUGCAAGCGUUAUCCGGAUUCAUUGGUUUUAAAGGGUUCGGAGGCUGAGCGUUAAGUCAGUGGUGAAAUCCUGCAGCUUAACGUUAGACUUGCCAUUGAUACUGGCGCUCUUGAGUGCGCUUGAAGUGGGCGGAAUGUGCCGUGUAGCGGUGAAAUGCUUAGAUAUGGCACAGAACACCAAUUGCGAAGGCAGCUCACUAAGGCGAUACUGACGCUGAGGCACGAAAGCGUGGGGAUCGAACAGGAUUAGAAACCCCUGUAGUCC